rnacentral:rRNA from 1 species
AUUGAACGCUGGCGGCAUGCUUUACACAUGCAAGUCGAACGGCAGCGCGGGCUUCGGCCUGGCGGCGAGUGGCGAACGGGUGAGUAAUGCAUCGGAACGUGCCCAGUAGUGGGGGAUAGCCCGGCGAAAGCCGGAUUAAUACCGCAUACGACCUGAGGGUGAAAGCGGGGGACCGAAAGGCCUCGCGCUAUUGGAGCGGCCGAUGUCGGAGUAGCUAGUUGGUGGGGUAAAGGCUUACCAAGGCGACGAUCCGUAGCUGGUCUGAGAGGACGACCAGCCACACUGGGACUGAGACACGGCCCAGACUCCUACGGGAGGCAGCAGUGGGGAAUUUUGGACAGUGGGGGCAACCCUGAUCCAGCCAUGCCGCGUGCGGGAAGAAGGCCUUCGGGUUGUAAACCGCUUGUGUUCGGGAAGAAAUCCUCUGGGCUAAUACCCCGGGGGGAUGACGGUACCGGAAGAAUAAGCACCGGCUAACUACGUG